GACGAACGCUGGCGGCGUGCCUAAUACAUGCAAGUCGAGCGGAUGACGGAGGAGCCUGCUCCUCCUGAUUCAGCGGCGGACGGGUGAGUAACACGUGGGCAACCUGCCCUGUAGAUUGGGAUAACUUCGGGAAACCGGGGCUAAUACCGAAUAAUCCUUCGGACCUCAUGGUCCGAUGUUGAAAGACGGUUUCGGCUGUCACUACAGGAUGGGCCCGCGGCGCAUUAGCUAGUUGGUGAGGUAACGGCUCACCAAGGCCACGAUGCGUAGCCGGCCUGAGAGGGUGACCGGCCACACUGGGACUGAGACACGGCCCAGACUCCUACGGGAGGCAGCAGUAGGGAAUCUUCCACAAUGGACGAAAGUCUGAUGGAGCAACGCCGCGUGAGUGAAGAAGGUUCUCGGAUCGUAAAACUCUGUUGUGAGGGAAGAACAAGUACCGGAGUAACUGCCGGUGCCUUGACGGUACCUCAUUAGAAAGCCACGGCUAACUACGUGCCAGCAGCCGCCGUAA
rnacentral:rRNA from 1 species